UGUGACGACAGUUGCCGCCAGAGAUCGAUUUCCAGUGCUGGACACUUUUUUUUUUUUUUUUUUUAAUUUUUAAGGAACCUAGUAAAACACCGUGUUCCACAGUUUAGAACGAACGUUUUGCCACAUCGUAUCUCCUCCUCUGACGUCAUCAGUGGCAGUAUUACAUUGUGCUUCCCCUUCCUCUCCCUUAUAUCCCAGGACCGAAUGGUGUUUUGGUGAUCUAGAGGUGAACUCCUUUGCUCUUUCAUGAUGAAAUUCUAAGGUACCCUUGCUGUGAUUUGCUUUGUGUUUCUGUGCCCACAUUAUGGAACCUGCUAUUUCCUCAUUGGGUCUGCUCUCUGGCUAUAACUCCUCUGGGUCAGAUGAGGACAAUUCCACAGACAAACCAUCUGGCCAUUCUUCAACUGCAGUGAAUUUCUUUUCCAGCAAUGCUUCUAGUAGUGAUGAGGAGAGUGAAGUCCAAAAUAAAAAAGAAAUACCUCAAAAUUCUGUAACAGUGAAUUCACCAUUGCCCACUGUCCGUCUCCCAGCUCCUCUCCUGGGAAGGCAGGUUGUUGCGGGUCCUGGAGGAGUCUUCUCAAGCACAUUCCGCGAGGAACAGGAAGCCCAGUUGAGCGUGUUGGAGCAACACGUAAAGUUGAGUGACAGCAACUGGAUGAAACGAGGAGGAGGAGUCUGUUUGGCUUACCAGAAAGAUGGGAGGUGCCGUUAUGGAACAAAGUGCAGAUACAGCCAUGACUCUGACUUGAUGCAUCCAGGCACACAACUAGUGAAUAAGGGGAGUGAGCACAAUCUUUUGAGAGAAGAUGGAGGAUGGAUGCAUAGAGAAGAAAAUGUGGAAGGCAACGAGGGAAAGGAAUCAGAACUAGACAGAGAUGAAAAGCAAAGUCAGAGGGGGAAAAGGAAAAAGCCAGGACUCAGUAACACACUGAUUCCUCCCAAAAAAUCUAUGAAAAACUACAAGGAACAGUUGGCUGCUGAGAGACCAUGGGACUUGUAAAAGCCUACAGUCUCAAGAUACAGAUCAUCUGGUUUGAUUUUUGUUGAAAGUGUAAGAAUGGAAUCAGUUAAUUAUUUAGUAAUAUUCUCAUAUUCCCCCAAAUUCGAUCUGCAAAAUGAGAAAGGUUUACAUAGUUUUAUAAUGCUGAAUGGGAAAGUGCUCAGGCUGUUGUUAAGUCAUAUUUAUUGUAAUUGAUUUCUGCAUUAACGGAUCAUUAGCUUAUAAGUAGAAGUGCAUACUUCUGGGAAGUCAAUGUACUACACAACUGAUUUACUAAAGAGCAAUAUGUUUUGCUACCACUUCUCAUGUAUAUACCCUCCGAGUUUCUUUUAACACAGUUGAUUAACCGAAUACAAAACUGCAAUGUUAAUGAAAAUAUCUUUCUUUUUGCCACCCAUGAGUCCUUGUUCAUAAUUUCUAACUGAUGGUUUUAUUCCAAUGGCAUGCAAGGUAAAUUAGUAAAGUAUGCCAGUGUGAUUAUGUAAAUAUCUGAAAAGGAGCCGUUUAGUAAAUCUGGUGGCCCUGGUGCAAGAAUCUUUUGGGGCCCCAUCUAACACAAGCAUGGCCUAGAGGUAGAUCUUCAUCUGUCGAACAACUCCCAAUGCUUUUCCAGCUGGGGAUUUACCAUAUGCCCAACCUUGCAGAGCUGUAUCUGUGAACAGUGUUUAUUUUUUAAUGUAAGCAUGUUUUGUGUGUUUGAAUGUAGUUUGUACUGUUGGCAUUUGAAUGUAGUUUUAGUUUGUCUGUACUGUUGCUAUUUAAAAGCAAUGGUGUACUUGUGUUUAGUAUUUGUAGGUAGAGUUGGCGUUUUCUGGGAUAUACGCACAUACAGACACACACACACACACACACACAGAGAUAAUAAAUAACAUACUAACAAAGACAAAGAUCACAAUUUACAUAUUUUUACCGACUCCCCUUCUUCCACAUGUUUUGGUGCAGGAGGGCGGUUUCCAGGGGGUGCAGUUAAAUCUGGCUGAGUCUGAUGGGUGUUUUGUCCAGGCUUUCCUCCUCUUAGCUGAACUACCCUCUCUCCCUGUCACGCAGCAGUGUAUGAUAUACUGUAACUCCUAGAGUGAACACGUUAGGUGUUGUCAGAAGAUAUGCAAGUCACCUGGGGUUAAUCACUGCCUUUUUCAUUAUUAUUUAUAAGGUGCCAACAAAUUCUGCCACACUGUACAAUAGUGCACUGGUACACACAGCGGUAACGUGGUCUCUACUAUUCCAAAUUAAUACUUCCAUAUAUGCUUCUGCUUAGGACCCUCAUUUAUCCAUAGGGCACCCAUGUGAGGAACAGCACAAGACACCAAUGAAGGCUGGAGCCUGUUUCCUAGUUUCUCAACCUGUGGUGCGCAUACCCUAGGCGGUAUGCGCACCACAGACCAGGGGGUUACCCAAGAGCAGGCUGGCUGUCCAUCUUAGCAUCCCUCAGGAGGUGGCCGACUGGGGAUCUUCCAGCACUGGUCACUUGCUCGCCCUGUGGUGAUACCGGGUGGCAUCACUAAAUGGUGCGCGAGGCAGCUGUGCUGCAAGAGCACAGAAAUUACACAAGCCCCACACUUCUCCAUGAAAAUGAACCCCACUGUAUCCCAGGGAAAGGAUCCACUCCAGCUCUCCAAGAGGUAGAGAAGCUGGGUGGACUUAAAAAAACUAAUUGUGUGUGUGUGACAGAAUGUAUGUGUCAAAAGAGUGCAUGUGUCUUUCAGUGAGUGUCAAGUCAGUAACCAUGUGUGUACCAGUGCCCCCUAUUUGCAAAUGUGUGUGUGUGUGUGUGUGUCAGUGUCCUCUGUGUGUAUCUAUAUGUGUAGCAGUUUCCUUUGUGUGUGUCGUGGAGCUUCAAUACUCGACCAGGGUAUCUCUGCCAAAAGCAUCAGUCGAAACUUGGUAGGAAUGCCUUUAUUGGUCACAGUACAUACAUUUAUAUGCAGGAGAUCAUUAACUAAAACAACACAGGCCCCGCCCAGGCGCCUCUGUGUCAGGGAGGAAACUAGAUUGAGAACCUCUAAUCUGAUUAAUCUCCAGACAUCAUGGGCACCUUAACAUAAUACCUUACUGUAACGGACCGUUUCAGCAGACAAGGGGUUAAAAUCGUUUAGGCGAUAAUCCCCUUUGCAAAGACAGGCACAGCUACUGCAGAACACCAAACUCCCGAACUGGAUACAAAAUAGCACUCCAAACUGGAACCACACGA